rnacentral:tmRNA from 1 species
CCGGUACUGAAUUCUGUGGUGCAUGCCGAGAAGGUCACGAGUCUCGUAAAUCAUUUGUGGCAUAUUAAAGCAAUCGCAAACGACGAUUCUUACGCACUAGC